rnacentral:tRNA from 1 species
ACUUUAGCUCAGCCGGUAGAGCAACGCAUUCGUAACGCGUAGGUCGUGGGUUCGAAUCCCAU